GAAACUAAGGGCAAUGUUGUUAUGAUGAGUAACAAGCUAACAAGUUGAUCAGAGCAACGAUUUGUAAGGAAUGGACAUGCUGAUAAAUGGGAAAAGGUUCAUCAAAUUCGAGAUAAGUUUGAAUAUGAUAGAGAGAGAAUCUGUGCAAAAAGAUGGCUCCUCUUGUUACGUUACUCUCUGCAGAACCAGAGAUACAAUAUGUUGCCUUAAGAAAUAUCAACCUUAUUGUCCAAAGGCGGCCUACUAUUCUAGCCCAUGAAAUUAAGGUGUUUUUCUGCAAGUACAAUGACCCAAUUUAUGUGAAGAUGGAGAAGUUAGAAAUCAUGAUAAAGCUUGCUUCGGACAGAAAUAUUACGGACAUCUCAUAAAAAAUCCGAGUACACAGAGAGCAAAAAGUUUACUUGAGAUACCAGCUGCUCAUCGCAUUGUCAUUAGUGGCACUCCAAUUCAGAACAAUCUAAGGGAACUAUGGGCGCUAUUUAACUUCUGCUGUCCUGAACUACUGGGUGAUAACAAAGUCUACUUCUCCUGGUUUCUAAACAUCCUCAUUAUCAUGUCUUAAUUUUUUUUUUCCUUGGUUGAGUUUGAAAUAUUCUUACAGCUUUAAAGAGAAAUAUGAGAAUCCCAUACUUCGUGGAAAUGAAAAAAAAAAGCUUCAGAUAGAGAGAAGCGCAUUGGUUCUGCAGUUGCAAAGGAGCUGAGGGAACGCAUUCAACCGUACUUUUUGCGACGCCUUAAGAGUGAAGUAUUUCGUGAAGACGAUGGAGAAGUUGCCAAAUUGUCGAAGAAGAGUGAACUGAUCGUGUGGUUAAGAUUGACAAAUUGUCAGCGACGACUUUAUGAAGCCACGUAAUCAGAAACUGCGGAAGAUUACUUGUUUUAUUGUCAUCCUGAAAAUCAGAAAACACCACAUAAUCAGAAACUGCGGAAAUGGUUUGUCCCAUUUACCUUUCUUCUUCUACAGUUGUCUGUUCAUCAAUUUGUUCAUGUACAUGCCUUCUCAAAACACUAUGCCCAUCUUUUUCCCACGGAUUAUUCUGUUAUUCUUUUUUUUUUUGGAUGCUUUUGCUCCCAAGGAACUAUUUUUGACAAUUUAUGUACAUAGAAGCUCUGGUUCGUCUC